CUACGGGUUGCUCCAGUGGGGAAUAUUGCACAAUGGAGGAAACUCUGAUGCAGCAACGCCGCGUGGAGGAUGACACUUUUCGGAGCGUAAACUCCUUUUAUAUAGGAAGAAGAUGACGGUACUAUAUGAAUAAGCGCCGGCUAACUCCGUGCCAGCAGCCGCGGUAAUAAGGAGGGCGCAAGCGUUACUCGGAAUCACUGGGCGUAAAGAGCGUGUAGGCGGAUUAAAAAGUCAGAAGUGAAAUCCUAUAGCUUAACUAUAGAACUGCUUCUGAAACUCUUAAUCUAGAAUAUGGGAGAGGUAGAUGGAAUUUCUGGUGUAGGGGUAAAAUCCGUAGAGAUCAGAAGGAAUACCGAUUGCGAAGGCGAUCUACUAGAACAUUAUUGACGCUGAGACGCGAAAGCGUGGGGAGCAAACAGGAUUAGAUACCCGGGUAGUC
rnacentral:rRNA from 1 species